rnacentral:rRNA from 1 species
UCGGGAAUUUUGGGCAAUGGGCGAAAGCCUGACCCAGCAACGCCGCGUGAAGGAUGAAGUAUUUCGGUAUGUAAACUUCGUAAGAAUAGGAAGAAUAAAUGACGGUACUAUUUGUAAGGUCCGGCUAACUACGUGCCAGCAGCCGCGGUAAUACGUAGGGACCAAGCGUUGUUCGGAUUUACUGGGCGUAAAGGGCGCGUAGGCGGUGUGUCAAGUCAGUUGUGAAAUCUCCGAGCUUAACUCGGAACGGUCAACUGAUACUGUCACACUAGAGUACAGAAGGGGCAAUCGGAAUUCUUGGUGUAGCGGUGAAAUGCGUAGAUAUCAGGAAGAACAUCAGUGGCGAAGGCGACACCUGGACGAUGACUGACGCUGAGGCGCGAAAGCCAGGGGAGCAAA